GAUGAACGCUGGCGGCGUGCCUAAUACAUGCAAGUCGAGCGAACAGACGAGGAGCUUGCUCCUCUGACGUUUGCGGCGGACGGGUGAGUAACACGUGGAUAACCCACCUAUAAGACUGGUAACUCUUCGGGAAACCGGAGCUAAUCCCGGAUAAUAUAUUGAACCGCAUGGUUCAAUAGUGAAAGUCGGUUUUGCUGUCAUUUAUAGCUGGAUCUCCGCCGCUUUAGCUAGUUGUUAUGGUAACGGCUUACCAAGGCGACGAUGCGGAGCCGACCUGUGAGGGUGAUCGUCCACAGCGGCACUGACACGCUGUCCACUCUACUGCGGGAAGCAGCAGUAUGGAAUUUUCCGCAAGGGGCGAUAACCUUGCAGAGUAGAUCAACGUCAGUGAUGAAGGUGUUCAGGUCGUUAAUCUCUGUUAUGAGGAAAGAACUGGUGUGAAAGAAAAUGUGGACUUAUUGACGGUAACUAAUCAAGAAGCCACGGCUAACUACGUG
rnacentral:rRNA from 1 species